rnacentral:lncRNA from 1 species
GCGAGGCUGAGGGAGGGGGCGCCGGGGGCGGGGCCAGAGCGCGGCUGGCCAAUGGGGGAGCGCAUUCGGCGGCCGGCUAAAUUCCCCCUGGAAAGUGAAGGGGGCUGGGGUCGAGGGGAAAGUUCGAAGCUCCGGAGCAGCGGAGGGCUUUGGUGGCGGCCAGAACCAUCCGGGGACAGUUGCAGGCGCAGGGGCAAGAUCGGGGGACCGGAAGACGCCAGCCGCGGCCGCGGCCGCCUCCGCCAGGGACGGUAGGCCCAACCCUGGCUGCCCCUCCCUUCCCGGGCCCCGCCGGGCCACUCUCCCGCCAUCGCUGGCUCGACAGCGCCACCUGCUGGACGUCGGCCUCCACGUCCGGCGCGCCGGGGCCCGAAGUUCUCGGAGGCUGGGACCUCAGUCUGGGAGGGGAAGGAGCUCACUCACCCCAGGUCCAGCGGCUUCAGAGCUGGAGGCAACUGCCUCUUUUGGAGUACAAGAUGGGAUCAGAAAGGCCUGUGACCGUCAGAAUAACUUCUUGUCCCGCCCCACCCACCGGAGCUGACACUUCCACCGCACAGCCCCACCCAGGGGUGAGGAAAUAGUGGCGAGGCAGUCCCUGGAAGCGGGCAGCAGCAAAGGGCGGGAGUUCGGGAGUUGCACGUGGCACCUGGUGACAGCAACGCACAGCUGGCAAGCAGCCCUGGGCUCCUCAUGGACCCUGUGAUCCGGGGAUGUCUGUUAACACUCCAGGGGCAAAGGAAGUAGCCGCCUGCAGUGUUAUAGGAGCGGGCAGAAAGCUGCCUUAGCUCCCAAGUGUGG